rnacentral:rRNA from 1 species
AUGGCAAUCAUUCCUGCAAUGCCGACAAGCACCCCUUUGAACACAAGCACUGGCAACACUCAAGUAGAUCAAACUGCCACCAAUACUGAAGUGAAUCAUGAAACUGAUGACGAAGCACAAUGGGAUGAAGAUGGUGGGCAAUCAGAGAUCAUGGUACCUCAGCCACCGUACGUUGGGCAGAGAUUUGAAUCGUUCGAAGAAGCAAAGGAAUUCUACCAGACAUAUGCAAAGUUCCAUGGGUUUGUGGUCAACACCGAAUACCAUAGGAAGAUUAAGAAAACAAACGAGUACAACAGAGGUGAGAUGAGAUGCCACAAGGCACGAAGGAACAAGAAGGGGAAAGGUGUUGCGCCUGUCGUUCCGGAACAAAAGAGAGGAAUCAUUCUCAAGAUGGAAUGCCCUGUCCGGUAUUCAGAACCUGAGGACCCAGACAAGGGAAGGAACUACUUCGUGAAAGCCUCAAUUGGGCAAGGCGAAUACUACUGCCAAUGCUGCAAGUUUGAACGGGACGACAUUGUGUGCUAUCACAUACUAAAAGUAAUGGACAUGAACGUGGUGACACGGAUGCCCCGCCAUUUCAUAAGGCGGCGAUGGACUUGGGACGCUGAUGACGCGUUGGCGCCGCAAACAACAAACGCAGUUCUGGCUGUGCAUGACGAGAGACCGGAGUCAACCAUGGAAGACGUCAGGCACGUUGUGCUGACAAAGAACUAUGCUGAGCUAAUUGAUGAAGCGUGCAAGAGUGAUGAGAUAACGAGAGUCGCAAAAAAACACAGGAAGGCCCUGAAAAGAGAGCUUGAUGAGAUCAAGAAGAGGAAAGCUGAGGAAGCCUUACACCGGUUCCCCCGCACAUCAAGUGUGCCUUCAUCCACAGGGCCAUCGUCAGAAAACUCGGAGAUAGGAUCUGGAACAGCAAGCACACAAACCCAGGUCAGGAACCUGCCCCAUUCCAUCACAAAGGGGCGUCCAAAAGAGAUAAGAACAUCAUAG